CCUACGGGGGACAGCAGUGGGGAAUAUUGCACAAUGGGGGAAACCCUGAUGCAGCGACGCCGCGUGAGUGAAGAAGUAUUUCGGUAUGUAAAGCUCUGUCAGCAGGGAAGAAAAUGACGGUACCUGACCAAGAAGCCCCGGCUAACUACGUGCCAGCAGCCGCGGUAAUACGUAGGGGGCAAGCGUUAUCCGGAUUUACUGGGUGUAAAGGGAGCGUAGACGGCAGGGCAAGUCUGCAGUGAAAGGUGGGGGCUCAACCCCCGGACUGCUCUGGAAACUGCCAGGCUUGAGUGCAGGAGAGGCAAGUGGAAUUCCGAGUGUAGCGGUGAAAUGCGUAGAUAUUAGGAGGAACACCAGUGGCGAAGGCGGCUUACUGGACUGUAACUGACGUUGAGGCUCGAAAGCGUGGGGAGCAAACAGGAUUAGAUACCCGAGUAGUC
rnacentral:rRNA from 1 species